UGCUGCCAUCUGUAAGCAGGUGCUCAAGAUAAGGUUCUGGAAUUGUUUUAACCUUUUUCAGAAGAUCUGACAAAGAUCCACCAUCCAUAUACUCUAAGAUAAUUGAAAUGGCACCAUUGUCAUAGAAAGACUGGUAACACAUUACAACAUUUGGACAUUGCGCCGAUUGAUUAAUUAUUAAUUCCUUGGCAAUUGCUUUCCUUGCAUUCUCCUCAAUAGUCAUCUGUAUAACCUUUAAUGCAAAAAACUGCCCUGUCCAUUUAUGCUGCACCAGCUGCACAAUUCCACUACUGCCCUUCCCAAUGACCUUAAUGGUGUCUAUGUCUGCCAAAUUCAACUGGU
rnacentral:misc_RNA from 1 species